rnacentral:rRNA from 1 species
UACGAAGGGGGCUAGCGUUACUCGGAUUGACUGGGCGUAAAGGGCGCGUAGGCGGUUUGUACAGUCAGACGUGAAAUUCCUGGGCUCAACCUGGGGGCUGCGUUUGAUACGUGCGGACUUGAGUUCGGAAGAGGGUCGUGGAAUUCCCAGUGUAGAGGUGAAAUUCGUAGAUAUUGGGAAGAACACCGGUGGCGAAGGCGGCGACCUGGACGGAUACUGACGCUGAGACGCGAAAGCGUGGGGAGCAAACAGG